rnacentral:rRNA from 1 species
AACGAACGCUGGCGGCAUGCCUAACACAUGCAAGUCGAACGAGACCUUCGGGUCUAGUGGCGCACGGGUGCGUAACGCGUGGGAAUCUGCCCUUGGGUGCGGAAUAACAGUUAGAAAUGACUGCUAAUACCGCAUAAUGACUCCGGUCCAAAGAUUUAUCGCCCAGGGAUGAGCCCGCGUCGGAUUAGCUAGUUGGUAGGGUAAAAGCCUACCAAGGCAACGAUCCGUAGCUGGUCUGAGAGGAUGAUCAGCCACACUGGGACUGAGACACGGCCCAGACUCCUACGGGAGGCAGCAGUGGGGAAUAUUGGACAAUGGGCGAAAGCCUGAUCCAGCAAUGCCGCGUGAGUGAUGAAGGCCUUAGGGUUGUAAAGCUCUUUUACCCGGGAUGAUAAUGACAGUACCGGGAGAAUAAGCCCCGGCUAACUCCGUGCCAGCAGCCGCCGCCGUAA